rnacentral:misc_RNA from 1 species
UCCGGUUUGUCACCGGCAGUCCCAUUAGAGUGCUCAACUGAAUGUAGCAACUAACAACAGGGGUUGCGCUCGUUGCGCCACUUAAGGCAACACCUCACGGCACGAGCUGACGACAGCCAUGCAGCACCUGUAUCCCGGUUCCCGAAGGUACCAAUCCAUCUCUGGAAAGUUCCGAGUAUGUCAAGGGCAGGUAAGGUUCUUCGCGUUGCGUCGAAUUAAGCCACAUGCUCCGCCGCUUGUGCGGGUCCCCGUCAAUUCCUUUGAGUUUUAGCCUUGCGGCCGUACUCCCCAGGCGGGGUGCUUAAUGCGUUUGCGACGGCACGGAAGGGGUUGAUGCCUCCCACACCUAGCACCCAACGUUUACGGCUGGGACUAC